rnacentral:sRNA from 1 species
UGGAUGAACAUAGUUUGAGCACAGAGGUAUUUAUGAUUAUCGAAAUACUGUAUCAAGCAAAAAGUGGUGGAAGCAAAAACUCAGGACAGAGUAUAGACAGUUGAUGAGAAUUGGACUGUUUGUUAUGGUUCACACCAUUCAGGGUGUUUGUCUGUGUGUCUGUGCAAGUGUCGGUGUGUGUGUGGAGUUUGGAUAUUGUUGAAGUUACUGUGUAGUACUCUACUGAACGUCUGUCUGAAUGUAAUAUAUUGUUACAAGUUACAUGUAAUACUUUAAUGUGAUUGUAAUUUAUUGUCAUAUAUAAUUUUAAGAUAUAAAACUAACAGAUGUUAAACAUCUCAAUAAAAUACCAAAUCAC